CCCGCCUGCCCUGUGACUAUAAGUUUAACGGCCGCGGUAUUUUGACCGUGCAAAGGUAGCGCAAUCACUUGUCUUUUAAAUGGAGACCUGUAUGAAUGGCAAGACGAGGGCUAAGCUGUCUCCUUUUCCAAGUCAGUGAAGUUGAUCUCCCCGUGCAGAAGCGGGGAUAAUAUCAUAAGACGAGAAGACCCUAUGGAGCUUUAGACACUAGAAAGCCCAUGUUAAAUAACCUCUUUGAAAGGUAAGAACUUAAUGGCACCUCAUCUAAUUGUCUUCGGUUGGGGCGACCGCGGGGGAAAGACCAGCCCCCAUGUGGAAUGGGAGUAUAUUUUCCCAGAGCCGAGAAGGACCUUUCUAAGCAACAGAAAUUCUGACCAAAAUGAUCCGGCAGAGCCGAUCAACGGACCCAGUUACCCUAGGGAUAACAGCGCAAUCCUCUCCCAGAGUCCCUAUCGACGAGGGGGUUUACGACCUCGAUGUUGGAUCAGGACAUCCUAAUGGUGCAGCCGCUAUUAAGGG
rnacentral:rRNA from 1 species